rnacentral:rRNA from 1 species
UAGGGAAUCUUCGGCAAUGGGGGGAACCCUGACCGAGCAACGCCGCGUGAGUGAAGAAGGUUUUCGGAUCGUAAAGCUCUGUUGUUAAGGAAGAACGAGUGUGAGAAUGGAAAGUUCAUGCUGUGACGGUACUUAACCAGAAAGGGACGGCUAACUACGUGCCAGAAGCCGCGGUAAUACGUAGGUCCCGAGCGUUGUCCGGAUUUAUUGGGCGUAAAGCGAGCGCAGGCGGUUAGAAAAGUCUGAAGUGAAAGGCAGUGGCUCAACCAUUGUAGGCUUUGGAAACUGUUUAACUUGAGUGCAGAAGGGGAGAGUGGAAUUCCAUGUGUAGCGGUGAAAUGCGUAGAUAUAUGGAGGAACACCGGUGGCGAAAGCGGCUCUCUGGUCUGUAACUGACGCUGAGGCUCGAAAGCGUGGGGAGCGAACAGG